rnacentral:rRNA from 1 species
AUUGAACGCUGGCGGCAUGCCUUACACAUGCAAGUCGAACGGCAGCACGGGUGCUUGCCCCUGGUGGCGAGUGGCGAACGGGUGAGUAAUACAUCGGAACAUGUCCUGUAGUGGGGGAUAGCCCGGCGAAAGCCGGAUUAAUACCGCAUACGAUCUACGGAUGAAAGCGGGGGACCUUCGGGCCUCGCGCUAUAGGGUUGGCCGAUGGCCGAUUAGCUAGUUGGUGGGGUAAAGGCCUACCAAGGCGACGAUCAGUAGCUGGUCUGAGAGGACGACCAGCCACACUGGGACUGAGACACGGCCCAGACGCCUACGGGAGGCAGCAGUGGGGAAUUUUGGACAAUGGGCGAAAGCCUGAUCCAGCAAUGCCGCGUGUGUGAAGAAGGCCUUCGGGUUGUAAAGCACUUUUGUCCGGAAAGAAAUCCUUGGCCCUAAUACGGUCGGGGGAUGACGGUACCGGAAGAAUAAGCACCGGCUAACUACGUG